rnacentral:sRNA from 1 species
AUGCGCGGAGAGCCCGUCUGGUGCCACCGCCCAUAUCCCCUCCCACGGUCUCUAGUUCGCGUCAUGGCCGCAGCCGCGGCUGUGGAGGCGGCGGCGCCUAUGGGCGCCCUAUGGGGCCUCGUGCACGACUUCGUCGUGGGUCAGCAAGAGGGCCCCGCUGACCAGGUGGCUGCAGAUGUGAAAUCUGGCAACUAUACAGUGUUACAAGUUGUGGAAGCCCUUGGGUCCUCUCUAGAGAAUCCAGAACCCCGAACUCGGGCACGAGGAAUCCAGCUUUUGUCACAGGUGCUACUCCACUGUCACACCUUGCUCCUGGAGAAGGAAGUGGUACACCUGAUACUGUUCUAUGAGAACCGGCUGAAGGACCAUCAUCUUGUGAUCCCAUCUGUCCUGCAGGGUUUGAAGGCACUUAGCCUGUGUGUGGCCCUGCCCCCAGGGCUGGCUGUUUCUGUGCUUAAAGCCAUCUUCCAGGAAGUGCAUGUACAGUCCCUGCCACAGGUGGACCGACACACAGUCUACAAUAUCAUCACCAAUUUUAUGCGAACCCGGGAAGAAGGUAAGAGACAGAGCUUUCUGGGAAAUGUCAAAAGCAAGCACAUCCUACUUUUUCCCCUAUUAGUAGGACUCAUUUUACCAGGGGUUAUAUAGAAGAGCUGGUAUCCUGAGAGAGAAUGAUAAAGGGAAAGGGGGGGUCUGCUCCCUCCCCCAUGAAGUAAAGAAAGGGUAGAGUUUGUUUGAGCCAGUGUUUUAAAUUCUUACCUCCACAGCAAUGUGUAUAUUGUUGCACAUCUCUUCACUGAGUACUUUCUUGGAAUGGAAAAAGGGUCAGCCCUGAAGAGAAAGGGGAGGCAGUGAUAGCAGAGGGAGAACACAGGCUAGGAGAAAGCCCACACUUUCUGUGCUGUGGGACAGUAUAGUAACCUUGUUCUCUCCUUCCCAGAGCUAAAGAGCCUAGGAGCUGACUUCACCUUUGGCUUCAUCCAGGUG